GACGAACGCUGGCGGCGUGCUUAACACAUGCAAGUCGAACGAAGUGGCGAACGGGUGAGUAACGCGUAAUCAACCUGCCCUUCAGAGGGGGAUAACAGUUGGAAACGACUGCUAAUACCGCAUACUGAAGGAGGGGAUUGCGUCUGAUUAGCUAGUUGGAGGGGUAACGGCCCACCAAGGCGAUGAGCAGUAGCCGGUCUGGGGGGAUGGACGGCCCAAAUGGGGCUGAGAAACGGCCCAGACUCCUACGGGAGGCAGCAGUGGGGAAUCUUCCGAAAUGGAGGAAAGUCUGACGGAGCCACGCCGCCGGAGUGAUGACGGCCUUCGGGUUGUAAAGCUCUGUUAAGCGGGAAGCGGUACCGGAAUAGAAAGCAACGGCUAACUACGUGCCAGCAGCCGCGGUAAUAC
rnacentral:rRNA from 1 species